GAUGAACGCUGGCGGCGUGCCUAAUACAUGCAAGUCGAGCGAACAGACGAGGAGCUUGUUCCUCUGACGUUAGCGGCGGACGGGUGAGUAACAUGUGUAUAACCUACCUAUCAUACUGGUAUAACUUCGGGAAACCGGCGCUAAUACCGUAUAAUAUCUUGAACCGCAUUGUUCAAUAGUGAAAGACGGUUUUGCUGUCUCUUAUAGAUGGUUCCGCGCCGCAUUAGCUAGUUGGUAAGGUAACGGCUUACCAAGGCAACGAUGCGUAGCCGACCUGAGAGAGUGAUAGGCCACACUGGAACUGAGACACGGUCCAGACUCCUACGGGAGGCAGCAGUAGGGAAUCUUCCGCAAUGGGCGAAAGCCUGACGGAGCAACGCCGCGUGAGUGAUGAAAGUCUUCGGAUCGUAAAGCUCUGUUAUUAGGGAAGAACAAAUGUGUAAGUAACUAUGCACGGAUUGACGGUAACUAAUCAGAAAGCCACGGCUAACUACGUG
rnacentral:rRNA from 1 species